CAGGACGAACGGUUGCCGGGGUGCUUUACCCCAGCCAAGUUGAAACGAGAAGAAUUAGAAGCUUGCUUUUUAUUGAGUCGAAUGGCCAAAACGGGGUGAGUAACGGGUAGACAACCUCCCGCAAAGAUGGGGACACCGUUCCGAAAGGACUGCUAAUUCCGAAAGUUGUGUUUCCUCCGCAUGGAGGAUGCAUUAAAGAGGGCCUCUACUUCGUAAGCUAUCGCUUUGCGAGGGGUCUGCGUUUGAUUAGCUAGUUGGUGGGGCAACGGCCCUACCACAGGGCACGAUCAGUAGCCGGUCUGAGAGGAUGAACGGCCACACUUGGAAGUGAGACACGGUCCAGACUCCUACGGGAGGCAGCAGUGGGGAAUCUUCCGCAAUGGGCGAAAGCCUGACGGAGCAACGCCGCGUGAGUGAAGAAGGUCUUCGGAUCGUAAAGCUCUGUUGUCGGGGACGAAUGUUGAGGCCUAGAACAUAGGUUUCAAAUGACGGUACCUGACGAGGAAGCCACGGCUAACUACGUGCCAGCAGUCGCGGUAAUACGUAGGUGGCGAGCGUUGUCCGGAAUUAUUGGGCGUAAAGGGAGCGCAGGCGGGAAGGUAAGUCUAUCUUAAAAGUGCGGGGCUCAACCCCGUGAGGGGAUAGAAACUAUCAUUCUUGAGUGCAGGAGAGGAAAGCGGAAUUCCUAGUGUAGCGCUGAAAUGCGUAGAUAUUAGGAGGAACACCAGUGGCGAAGGCGCCUUUCUGGACUGUAACUGACGCUGAGGCUCGAAAGCCAGGGGAGCGAACGCGAUUAGAUACCCCGGUAGUCCUCGCCGUAAACGAUGAAUGCUAGAUGUAGGAGGUAUCGACCCCUCCUGUGCCGGAGUAACGCAAUA
rnacentral:rRNA from 1 species